UCAGAUCGCAGUCUGCAACCCGACUGCGUGAAGUCGGAAUCGCUAGUAAUCGCGGAUCAGCAUGCCGCGGUGAAUACGUUCCCGGGCCUUGUACACACCGCCCGUCACACCAUGAGAGUCGGGAACACCCGAAGUCCGUAGCCUAACCGCAAGGGGGGCGCGGCCGAAGGUGGGUUCGAUAAUUGGGGUGAAGUCGUAACAAGGUACC
rnacentral:rRNA from 1 species